rnacentral:lncRNA from 1 species
CCCAAAGGUGUGGACUCCGGCCGCAAAACCUGACUCAAUAGGGGAGGGUCUGGGUGGGCAUCUAACGUCGGUGGCGGCUCUGGUGCGGGACUUUGCCCCCGCCCAGACCACGGGCCUGGCCAUGGAGCUGAGUUGGUCGCCGUGCCUGGACUGGGCACCGGCGCAGAGGAAGGCUCCGGCCUUGGAGCGGGACUGGACGCCGUGCCUGGACUGGACAUCGGCGCAGAGGAGGGCUCCGGCCUGUGGAUUUGCAAUAAACUUGCUGUCUAUCUCUCCGACAUUUGCAACAUUGUUUCAAUAUUAAAAUUCAAUCUCCAGCUGUCCUAUAGUAAUGAACAUGUCAGGAGUCGGGAUAAGACAGGCAGGUAGGCAGUGUUUCUCAGCCAGUCGAAAUCAUGAAUCAGCGUAAUUUUGAUGGAUAUAUACAAAUAACUAUCAAUAAAAAACAGGUCAAACGAAACGCAGUGCAGCUAGUUUGAAGUCUUUCCAGCUUCAGUUUGAAUUGAUUGUUUUAGCUGUGUUGUUGUCUAGCUCCUCUGAACAACAGUGUCCUGACGAGAGAGCACAUUUUCUAUGCCAGGUGGAAUUGCGCAUCAUUAGCUCAUUGUUAUGGAUGUAUCCAAUUAAACGUCAUUAGAAAACAGUUAAACAAAUGCAAAUUCAGCUACUUCGGUGUCAUUCUGGCUGCACUGUUUGACGUGAUUGUAAGUUAGCCGUAGUUGGGUAGCAAGCAAGGGAUAAAAACGUUGCCAGUCAAUAUGGCAAUGGAACAUUUAGGACUGGGUCGCGUCCAUAGAUACAGAACAAAAAUACUGAAUGACUGGGUCGCGUCUCUGGCAACCAAACCUAUAGAACGAACGACCAGCAGAAAAUCUGGCUGAAAAUCUCCCCACUGCCAGAAUUCUCCCCCCUUCGAGUUCUUCAUUGCUGUGACUUGCUUGCUAGUUGAGAUUUCUGCUCUUCACUCCGUUGUCAGUAUAGCCUACAUUUCACUGAUCUUAGUAGCAGAAAGCAUUUUUUUCUGCAGUUUUCGGUUUGUCUAUUUGUUUCAAGUGUAUGUGGCGGUUCUAGCUUGUAUGGUGCCCUGGGAAACCCCCCCCUUCAGCGUCCUGGGCGAACCCCCCUUGUAUGGGUCCCUGGGCGAAGCCCCCUUGUAUGGGUCCCUGGGCGAAGCCCCCGGCAAGAUGCCGCCCUACUC